rnacentral:rRNA from 1 species
AUUGAACGCUGGCGGCAGGCCUAACACAUGCAAGUCGAACGAGGGGCGGAAGGGUGAGUAAUGACUGGGAACCUGCCUGAUGGAGGGGGAUAACUACUGGAAACGGUAGCUAAUACCGCAUACCAUCGGAGGUGCCCAGAUGGGAGUAGCUAGUAGGUGGGGUAACGGCUGACCUAGGCGCCGAUCCCUAGCUGGUCUGAGAGGAUGACCAGCCCCACUGGAACUGAGACACGGUCCAGACUCCUACGGGAGGCAGCAGUGGGGAAUAUUGCACACUGGGCGCAAGCCUGAUGCAGCCAUGCCGCGUGUAUGAAGAAGGCCGUCGGGUUGUAAAGUACUUUCAGCGGGGAGGCGUUACCCGCAGAAGAAGCACCGGCUAACGCCGUGCCAGCAGCCGCGGUAAUAC